AUUGAACGCUGGCGGCAGGCCUAACACAUGCAAGUCGAACGAGUGGCGGACGGGUGAGUAAUGUCUGGGAAACUGCCUGAUGGAGGGGGAUAACUACUGGAACCGGUAGCUAAUACCGCAUACCAUCGGAUGAGACCAAAUGGGAUUAGCUAGUAGGUGGGGUAAAGGCGCACCUAGGAGACGAUCCCUAGCUGGUCUGAGAGGAUGACCAGCCACACUGGAACUGAGACAGGGUCCAGCCUCCUACGGGAGGCAGUAGUGGGGAAUAUUGCACAAUGGGCGCAAGCCUGAUGCAGCCAUGCCGCGUGUAUGAAGAAGGCCUUCGGUGUGUAAAGUACUUUCAGCGGGGAGGCGUUACCCGCAGAAGAAGCACCGGCUAACUCCGUGCCAGCAGCCGCGGUAAUUC
rnacentral:rRNA from 1 species